GUAUUGGGGGUUGUUUAGCUGCAAAGCAAGGUCCAGAAUGCAACCUCAGCCCUUUAUCCAGAACUAGCUUUGUGUCAGUGCCAGCCUGGGGAUUCUCACUCUGGGAACAGUCACUUGGAGACCCGCUGUCAACACAAACACAGCACAAAGAGUCCCAAACCGCCUUCACUCUGACAAUGUGCAGCUUUAAGCUCUCUGCCAGCUACCUGAUUGGGGUGGUGGAUGCCAGCAGAAGAGCUUAAGUACCGGCUUCAGAAAGGUUUACCACCAAGAUCUGUAUUUUCCAUGCUUCCCUGCAACUUCUGUUUUGCUUUUUCAAGUGAUCACUGAGCAGAACUGAGAAAACAGUGACUGUUUUCACACAGGUUUCCCCAAACACUCUCCUAUCUAUUGGUCAGAACAACAAUGGCAACGGAGGUGGCUGGGAAUGUGGGAGACUCUGGUCGACGCUGAUAAGCCCACGCUCACAUACAGGCCUGCAGGAGGAACCAGAUUUACCAGGAAGACAAUGUCCACUAGGUCACAUACAUACACUUACACAUGGACACAUGAGUGGAGUAAUUUACUGCACCAACAUAGAUAAACUUAAAUAAACAGAUAAACAGACUAACACAUGCUUAUAGGAACCAAACAUGCACAAUCAUUCAAUUUAUCAAUGCUUUACUGCUUACACAUGCACAUAACAACAUAUAACACGUCCGCUUGCUAACUUACCAACAAAAAUAUGAACCGCAUUAAAAUUGUACCAUCAUUUAUUCAUUUCCAAACCUGUAUGACUUUCUUUCUUCUGUGGAACAGAACAGAAUAAAAUAGUAUAGUAGUCAAUGGGGGGCAAAAUCU